ACCAUCUACUCAAGCAGUGCAAUAGUAUUGUCAUUGCAUUCGGCUUUCGCCUACUCACCCACUAGAGCCUUAAACAAAGCUGGGACGAACGCUAUAUUGUUAAGGGGCAUUUAAGUACUAUUUCAAAUAGCGAAUAGGGGGUUUUGCACGAGUAUAUAGACCACCUAGAUAUAUGGGCCCAGAAGUGUGCACGAUGUUGGAUUGAUUCCAUGCCCAACAGCACUAUUACAGAGCAUGCACCAGGCGUGUGAACUGCAGUAUUUGAGCUAUGGUAUAUCUGUGACCAGGUUUUUCCACUUAUUGAAAAUGCCUACAAGACCACGCCUCCUUCGAAAGAACAUUUUGUACGACUGAGGUCGUCUUCGUUUGCAUUGAAAACCACGUGUUCGAUUAAGUAACACUCCAAAAAUGCUUUGAAGUGAGUUUCUCAACCUUUUGCAUAUUUCGGGAACUUCUGUAUGAGGCCUGCUGGCAAAGAGGUGCACAAAAGCAGUGAAUAAUAACGAGCGGACGUAAAUAAUCAUCUAAACGCCAUUUUGUAUGCUUUUGUCGAUUCAUAAAUGUCAGUAGCACAUAGCUUCACCCCCUAUGCAUUUUGUAGUCAACAGCAACGUGUUGAAUUGUAUUUAUUUUCUUUAAAGAACAAUUUAUAUAUAUAUAAUUUGUUUGAGGUGUAGCCUAUAUAAAUCACAAACGUAAAUAAUUGUAUUCUGAAUUUGUUUUCUUCAUGAUUUAAUUAUAUACUUUUAUUCUUCGUGCAAUUAAACUUUAUUAUCGAAUGUUUUCCCCCUAUCUUUUUCAAAUGAGUUAUUUAAGAUAUUUAUUGUAAAUUCAAAGCCAACGCAAUUAUUGGGUUCUCUAACGCUUACACGUAAAUAAGCCUGUACAUUAAUCAGUGCUAUGAGAAUUAAACCGUUUGAUGCAAAGUAUUUGUAACAGCAGUGCUCCCAUCUCCCUGGAGCUCCCUACUAAACAGAGCUGGUAGGUGUGUAACCAUAUAUUUAGAUUUUUAUUUAUAAUGAAGGAGCUCUUCCAGAAGGCAGAAGGAAGGGAUGAUUCUCUUGUUUGAGCCAGAUCGGUGGGGGAUGGGACUAUUUGUAAGGAAUGUAGGGGGCAGGUCCCUUUCCAAGAGGGGAGGAAACGGAGGGAAUGUGAGGAGGGGGGUCGUCCAUAGUGACAUUUUACUCUUGGUCAGUAUUUGCAAGGUUAUGCAAGUUGAACUUUUUCGGUUGUCCCAUCAAAAGACUGGAUAUCUGGCCGAACAAAGUUGCUUGUAAUGAUACGUAGGCAGGUCGGUGUGUGUGAAUUUGCUGGCUGGCGCAACACACACAGACUUUGUAUAAUAGCCUAUAAAAGUUAAGUCAAUAGUGUGUCUCGUAUUUUUUAAUUAAACAUAUUGCAUGCAAUUCGUACAAAAAUAAAGUUUAUGAUGAACAGUGAAUUAUUUCGAUAUCUUUUUUUUUCCGAGUUUGGGACUUAAAAUGUCUAGGUGGUGUAACUGCUGAGAUUGUAAAACACUUUUAAAAGCUACAAAUCUUGAUAAAAAAAGCAAUAUUGGCAUAAGAAGUCUGUAAAUUUUAAAUGGAUAAUUCUUUAAUGUUUAGAAUUGCAUGUUCUAACAAACAAUCAUCAACCGUUUUGUUGUCAUAUGACAAGAAGAAGAAGAAGAAGGAGAAGAAAAAAACAGAGGAACCAUUUAAAGUAGACCUUCAUGACUUGACUGUGUCUGGGUUAUUUGAUUUAUUUAAAUCUCCCUUUUAUGAAAAUGCACGCUUUAUUCUGUUUUGUUCAAAGGAAGGGUCUAAUCUUACGUCAUAACAUAAAUUUGUCAUUUUCAUGACAUUUAAUAAAAAUCGUAUUAUUAUUAGGCCUGUUUAAUAAUAGUUGUGUGGAUUCGCGUAAAGUAUUUUAUGGUCUUUUAAAAAACACUGCAUGAUAAUUUCGCACGUAGUGUUUUAAAACAGACCAUUACAAGAUUUCUCCUUUUUAUCAUCUGGAGUAUUUAUCAUUGCCGCGUAUAUAUCGGGGCUCUACAGUAGAAUGUAAGCUUGAGACUCACCGGUCUGAACUGGGUGUAUGAGGAAUGUUGCGCUAUACCGCAACGCGCAUGCGCAGCACAUUCAUAGGCCACUAUAGCAUACUGAGGCCUACAGCUCCUCUGUUCUCAUGAUCCUGGCUCAGCUCUUAGCUAGAUGGCUUUGAAGCUUCACAUGAGGAGUGGGGACAAGUAAGAUCAUGCAUGUGAGUUCAAUGUGAAAUUCCCAAGGGAGAGGAAAAAAAACAUCCUGUUGAAGCAUGUCGUUAACUCCAAGGCAGAAGCUGGUAUGCUUGGAAUUGCAGAGCACCAAGACUGCUUUUGGACGAAGAUAACCAAAGGGCCUACAAUAUGCUUUCUACUCGGUGUUUCUCAUAUUUGAAUGCCAUCUGCGUGGCUUUGAAAGAAAGUUUGUCUUUAUUGAUAGCAUGCAUGUAUUGGUAUUAGAAGAUUAUUUUUUAAGUUGCCCAUUUAAAAUGGCAGAUGUGCUUAAUGAUGUUUUUGAGAGAAAAAAAAAGUCACAUGGUAUAUUUAAAUGAUUCUACCUAUUCUUGGUAAUUCCUUGACAAAUGUAUAUUAAAUUGUAUUAUUAUAGAUGAAAGCAUUUAAACUCAACCAUGUGGCCUACACAACCCUCAACAUUUUUGCUAUAUUAAACAACAUUUCAUGAAGCAUGUUGUUUGGCAGCAAAUAAACUUAACUGAAUUCUGUUCAGCAUUUUGCUGUUCACUUUGGUUUAAGGCUGUGGAGGGU